rnacentral:lncRNA from 1 species
CCCGCGAUCUGGCAUAUAGGGUACAAUCGUAGAUAAAUACGGUAUAGGCACCAUGCCUACACAAUACUUAUCAUUUACCCACUGUACACAUGGAUAAAUGCUAUACGAUCCUAAACAUGUAUAUAAUUCCAAUCUAACUAAGCCAAGUAUAUAACUAUGAUAAACUAAGAACAAUAUAAUUGUGAAUAUAAACAAGUAGAGCAAAGUGAUAAUCAAUAUACUGAAGUAGUUCAUAAUAUUGAAGAACAAAGAUAAACAAUUGAAGAACAAUAGAGAAUUACCAAGAAUCCUCUUGACAGAUCCGGAAACCA